AGAUCGUGUUGAGGGCAAUUUCUUAGUAAUCCCUUGUACCUCUCCGAAGCUUCAUAUAACGACUCGUCGUCAUUCCGUUGGAAAUUAGCAAUGUUCUUUUUGAGUUU